UGCUGUGGCUUAUCUGGUGCUGCAGUGGUCAUCGUUGAGAUACUCAACGCUCCUUUUUGGGACCGUACCUCAUGACACAGCACAGACGUUCUUACCUCCAAAAUGUCCUCACUGCUCCUCGGUGCGCUUUCAGAUUGUGUGAACCAGCGUGAUGCUAACUAACACCUGAUGGUUUUGCUGCAGUAGCUGUAAGAGCUGCUAAAGAAGAGCUACUUUGGUGCUGUUGGUCUUCAAGAUGUUGAGCAAAGUCAACAGAAGUAAGGAACUCAGCAUAAAACAGCCUAAAAGAUUUGAUUUCCAAGACCAGCCGAGUGCCUCUCCCCCAGAGUCUGCCCAGUUGAAGAAGUAACGAGCCACACUGACGACUGAAAGUCUUGGCCAGAGGAUCACUGUGCGGUGACAGGAUAUUCUGGCUGCAAACAUGGACUGGAGAAUAUUUUUCUUACUGUGUCAGACAGUACGGGAGAGGAGAUGCACAGUACUGUAGCUCUUCGCUUAGUCCCGUGUGAGUAAUAUAAAUGUUUUCUGGUUUUCAUGUUGGAUCCUUAAGGAGGGGGAGCCUGGAGGAGAACAGCUGUGCAUCUGAACUGACUUCUGACGAAUCAGCACAUUUACCUUGGACACCAUCCUGACCUUCAAAAUUCAGGGGAGAGCAAUCAGUCCUGACAAGAGGUCUCUUUAGGACUUUUAGAUUGUGUUUAUUCUCCCUCUCUCGUAUUUCAAUUACCUAAACGUUUAUAUAAUUCAAAAACUGAUUUCAGCACAGCAAAGAAAGCUAUAGAGCAGAUGCUGUAUUUCCUUUGCUACGUAGCCCAUAACUAACAAAGCAACAAUUUCUUUAUUAUAGGGUGGAAGCAUAUCUAAGAAAUACGCUGUCAGUGGUGUCAAGAGGAAUGUGGCAUGCUGCACCAUUUCUGAGCGUUAAUACUUUCAUUUAUUUUCAAAUAGUUUGCAGAGCAGCCGACACCAGGCAUAUAGACUGUGCACAAUUAAUUCAAAUUGAAUAAAUGUCUGAAGGAGUUUUUGGAAUUACUGUACCAUUCAAACCCUGUACUGUCACUAUAAGGCAAAAGAAGAAACAUAUGCUAUUAAAAUUUUUCUUAGAAGAGGCAGUUCAGUCGCCCAUGCACUGUUUGCACAGAACUUACUCUGGUAAAUUUAGGGUAGUGCUAUUCUGCAUAGCAGUGAAGCAUAUCCUUAAGUCUCACUGAAAUAUAGAAGACGACAGGGAUUACAAGUCCUUCCUGAGGAGCCGGAACAGAACCCAUUAAGGUAUUGCAAGUCAUGCAAUUCAAUGGCCCUGAAAGUAUAAUUUGAUUGUAAUUCAGGAGGUUACUAAAAGGAAAUCCAUACUAGGCUGUAAGAUAAGCAAAAGCGAGAAGUGUAUUUACUAUGAGUGGUUAAAUGUGAGGUGUGUGAGUCCCUUAUCUCUUUUGUCUGCAGUUUAUCACCACUGAAGGCAAGUAAAAGGGGAAUAAUAUCUAGUUCACAAGAGAAGAUUGGAUUAAGCUUUCCCAAAGGUCUUAUGGGAGUUAUUUCCAUUUCACUCUCGUCUGGAUUAGCUUAACUCCUUCAGGCUAUUUCCAAAUCUGUAAAGGAGAAGGUCUUGGCGCAUGGGAGGGAGAGGAGGAUGGCCAGGAUGUUGUUUCUUCACGGAGGAAUUUGCCUUUGACUUCCAUAAAGGAAUUAGGAGACCUACAAAGUCCUACCUGAGUGCAGGAAUUCUUUUACUGUGGAGCUUUCUUUUUCAGAUUCCUUUUUGCUAUGCAAGCUUAUUGCUUUGUAAUGGGUGUCUCUUAUAGGUGUUUAUUAGAAUCAUUAUUUAUUAGAAGAAACCUGGGUGCUCUCAUAUCUUGCUGUGGUUAUACUCACUGCCCUUGUCUACAGCUCUAGGUACUUCAGCUCAGUUUAUGCAUGUGAAAUAGCUAAUGAAAUAUUGGAGCGGACCUGAGGUGGUUGAGUUCGUGUACUAUGAUACUGAAUUUUUUUAAUGUUAUCUCUUUGUUAUUGUGUACAACCUUGGGACAAGCUCUUUCUAAAAUACACCUACGUGAAAGGUAGAUGCAAGAAGUGUAACACAGAGCAACGUUCCCUUGGCUGCAGACAGGCAUGUGAGGGUGCCUAAUGUGCUGAAAGGGCAGUCUGUCCAAGGUGAAAGUAGAGGCAGCGACAUCGAGAGAGACCACGCAGACACCUGCCAUGUACAUGCAAGAGACCGACACCACCAAAUAAAAAUUACUCGGACAGAGAGAUAAUAUAGAGCACCACAUGCUGGUUUUUCCAAUUACCUUAACUUUCAUUGUAUGAAUCCAUAACUUUCCCCUUAACUUUCGUUGUAGGAAUCGGGAGGAAAAGGCAGACAGUCUUUCUCUGCAGAAUCCUACCUGGCUCACUGUGUGGCUUGGAAUAGCCCCAGGUUUUCUGUAUUUUGUUUCUGUGGGAGAAGGAAUUCUGUAGCAGCAGAGCAUGGGGCAUGCUUGGUCCUGCUCUGGCCCAGGGAAAGGAUGUCACUGCUUCUGAUAUGGUGAAAUCCAGUCUCUGUCAGUGCCUCUGUUCCACCUGCAUUAUAUUAGUUUUAGUAGAAAUGAUGCAGUCUGGCUGCAAGAUGCUUCUCAAUCAUAAGUAUUAGUUUAGGCAGGGAGGGUUAUCCAAGCAAAGACUGAUUAUGCAGAGGACAUGAUUUUGUGCUUCAUGUGUGUUUGCAGCCCAGAAAGCCAACCGUAUCCUGGUCUGCAUCAAAAGAAGCGUGACCAGCAGGUCGAGGGAGGGGAUUCUGCCCCUCUGCUCCGCUCUGUGAUAGCUUAAGCUAGAAGUGAUCACAAACAGACGGUCAUCACUUUCCAGCUAAUAGCAUGCUGUUUGCAAAUGGAACAGGAGAAAAACUCUGCAUCUUGGACACUCUGACAGAGUGAAACUGCAAGUGGAACAGCCUUCUCUUGGAAAUCCCGGGUAUUGUUUUUGGCUUAGCAUCAUCGGAUCGCUUCUUGUGUACGUGCCCUUCAUAUUGUUUUAGCUGAGCUUGUGGUCUGGAGGGAUUGAGUAUUAAUCAUGAUGGUGGAGAGGCCAAUGGCAGUUCUUUUUAAGAGAUGAUUGAUUACUCACCAGGAGAGCUAGAGGAAGCUUUUAAAGACAGAAAUGGGUGCUGGCUACCUAUUUGCCAUUGGAAAGCCAGCAAAAUUAGGUCUUUAUGUCUUAGUCUUUGAAAUUUCCCUCUGGACUCACCAGAGUAAGAGGACAAAUUUCACUACUGUUUUCAUAAUUCCAUCUGGGUUAAGACAGUCCUUAAUGCAGCAGCUGCCGUCAAAUUAAAUGUCAGACGAAUGCCACAGAUGAAAAUUAAAAUUCGGACGCCAUGUCUGCCUGGUUCUCAGGAUCAGACAGAAUUUAUUUCCUCGCAGGUGCUAAUCAGCAGCUUCGCUGGCUCUGGACAGGCACCAGCUCUCCAAGAGGCCGUGGACAGAGUUACUUGCCUGCAGUAAAAUGUAUUUUCUAUCAAUAUUUCAUCAUAAGAAGUCAGUGCGGUGACUUACUUUGAGUCUUGCUUUGCUGGCGCAGGAGUCCCUGCAAGCCCUAAGCGUGUCCCACGAUUCACGCACCUACCGACUCCCAGAUGCCGAGAUGCACCGCCGUGGGCAAAUAAAUACUGCCCGCGACCGCCUUCUCCUGCGAUUGCCUACUUGGAACGUGGCAGAGUGAAAAGCAGUCGCAUUAGCAGCUGCAGCGUAGUGCCACGUGGUCGGUUGACGGCAACUGCAGCAACAGGCAAGAUUAAGCAUUGGGGAAACGGGACAGUUAGAAGGUAAGAGGAUAUUUGGCACAUUUAUCCACUGUCUGCUCCUUAUGCGGCUCUUCCAAAACCUGACUAUAGCUCUGCCUGUCACACUGUGUUUGAAGACCAGAUCCAAGAAAUGACUCAGGGCCCAUCUCUGUUGCCAAAUAACUUCACUCCGUUGUUUGCUCCUGGUCUUCGCCGUCUGACUGUCCAUGCUAGAUGCUGUUUUGAAGCGAGCCAGCUAGUUCCCUCCAAGAGGAAACUCUCCAGGGCUGCUGUCACAGAUGCAAUGCGUGUUCUCAUCAUCAUGCUGUCUCGCAGCUCUGAUGAGCUGUGAAACAUCUCCGGUAUAUCAUCUCCGCUCUCCUGGACCGACGUCGCCAUUCUGCCGUAGGAUUGCCUUGCGGGUCCCAGCGGGUGUGCAGUGCGGAUGAGGCCAUCUCAUCCAAGAGGGAUCUAGUCCGGAGCCGUGCCCUCAAAUCCCGUAGGCCAGAGAGGGAAGAAAUUGUUCAGGGUUGGACUGAUGAGCGUACAGCAGGGGCCGUUUGCUCUGACCAUGCGGCAUUGCUGUGCCCGUUGCGGGGAGUUGCCUUAGUUAAAUGCUAACUGAGAGCGAGUCAUCCAGCACAAGCCACUGUGUGUUUCUUCUCUGCCAUCUGCCGUGGUUGCCCUCUUCCCUGCCUACUCGUGGUAGAAGAAUUGUCUUUUUCUCCAUCCUGCUAAGCUUCCCAGACAACUGAUCCCCCUUGUGCCACUGCCGGACCAGUGCCACGAGGCUGCUGAGAAGACGUGACCUGGAGGAGAUGGGUGUAAAUGCUGACCUCCCUGCAAGUUACCCACCCACUGAUGCUUUUGUUUAGCUCCUCGCUCAGAAAUCUCUCUUGAUUCUAAUAAAGAAACCAAAACAAAGUGAGGUUUGAAGAAACGGUAAUCUGUCUUAUGGGCUGGUGAGACAAAAUCACUCUCCUCGCUGGCUGUGGGAAUUGUACUCCAAAAUUCACAGCAGUAGACCCUUUCAUACUCCUGAUGUAUGUAAUGUAAUUUACUCCUUUCCCAUAAAAAAAAAUGUUUAGAUACAGGUGAAAAAGCCUUCAACCUCUUUUGACCCUAUGGAAGGUCAAAAGAAUAGCCUGAUUUAACAGUGCCUUUUUUUUUUUUUUUUUUUGGAAGGGAUGCUAUUCAUACUUUGGUUUAACAAUCCAGCAUAGAAGAAAACAGCAUGACUCGAGCCAAGGAGAAGAGUAGAGAGAGUGAAUAACGACAGCACAAAUCAGCAGUAAAGAAGCAGUCUGCUGCAGCACCUGUACAGAAAGCCCGAGGCCAGCGAGGGAAGUGGCAGAAAGAUUGCAGUGGGAAAUGGCAUGGGGAGCACCAUAUGCACCGAGCACCGAAAGGCUGAGAACAGCAUUUUAAGCUAUCCUAAAGAUGGGGAAAUGUCUCUGUCCUUGGGUGGAAGGGAGACUCACUAAAAGAAUAUAUGUGGGACAGCAGAAGACUGCCAGAAAUGAGUAUUAGUUUCCUCAACCCAAAAGAAGCUCUUCUGUGGGCUCUCUGCAGAGGACAGGACACCAUCCCAGGAAUGGUGGGAGCUCGACACAGCGCAAGUAGGUGAGUCCCUUUGUCCUUAGCAGGUAAAUAUAAAAAAAGAACUACCAUGAAAAAAAAGAACUUAUAUGAAAAUUUCAUAAUCUAUCCAUUAGUUGGGCUAGCAUUAUCUUGAUAACUUUUUGCUAAUCGUGAAUUUAAUAAUGAUCUCUUUAGCUCUAAAUGCAUCAAUCGGUAAUGCAGAGAUUUUCUGAAGGGCACAGGUAACAGUGAAUUACCUUUUGUGGGAGGUGUCUUAGGAGUAAAUCAACAAAUUGAUUCCUAGUCUAAAAAAAUUGAUUAAUUUAUUAAGAUGAAGUUUUGAUCUUUGCUCCCUCAAAGUUUUGAUGAGCAUUAGUAGUAUUAGAAUUGCAGUUCCAGACAUCCAGAACAAUCUAUUAAGUUAAUAGGCAGUGAGAGUUUGAGAUUGAUUGCUAUAAUCACAGCAUGAAAGCUGAAAUUUGUUUUGUAGAUAUAGAUAACUGGGCCAGAUUCUGGCACAACUGGCAGAGAUUUGUGUUACUACAAAACCUGUCUGCUUAAAUUCUGAUGAACUAAAAAGGAGAAUAAAAUGCUCUUCAAAAAGACUGGGACUCUUAUAAUUUGACUCUAAUAAAAUAGUCCUAAAUUCUUCUUCACAAGCCCGUAUGAGUUUAGGCAAGCCUAAAUAAGUAUAGGAAGGCUAUUAGCCUUGUAUUGGUUCUACAGCACAACCUACAUCAGCCCCUUGAGAAGCCACGAUGCACAGUAGCAUCAUGGUCUGUAUUGGAAUGAUAUAACUAAUGAAGACUCUGGAAUCUUCAAAUCGAAGCAGAGAGAAGUAGAAAGCUUGCUACUGCUGUGAAAUCCUCCUUCCCACCCCGAACCCACUGUACCAAAUCUCUUAGCGAGCCGAGGGAUGCUCGGGGGGGUUCGGCGGGUGUUGCCCCAACCCUGCAGGCAGAGGCUGCGCCUGCUGAAGCAGCCCUGUAACGGAUGGCCAAAAGCUCUCCAAAGACUGAUUGAAUUGCCAAGUUAAUGUAUUGAAGAAAGUGCACUUCAAUAAUUAAAUUGCUCCGAUGCAAUUGCUACAUUCUACAAUUUUUUUUCUUGCGCUCUUGCUUGUAUUUUGACUAUCCUUGAAGAAGUCCACGCUUCCAGAGCUUCCUUGCUGCUCCCCGGAUUUUAUAGAUGGCCAGGAAUGGGAUCCCCCACGUUCUCCUUCUAGUCUGAGAAGACAAGAAAAUAAACAAGGAAAAUGUCUGUGAUGGUAUUAGUUGGCUGCCUGAUAAGUCUCCAGAUUGCUGUCUGUUGUGAUCUGUUCCUCCUGAUUGCUCCCCCGUCGCGCUGCCGAUCACCUCUCCUCCCACCGGCACCCGUGGCGGGGAGGACAACGGCGAGCCUCAGCGCCGCGGGGCAGGAUAGGAUGGACAUCUCAAUUUCUGGAGAAUUGUAUGGUGUAGAUGUGGACGGGAGCCAAAGCAUCGGUACCACCAGGUCCGUGUCUAUGCAGAAAGUGGGUCUGCACAUCAGCGGCAUGGUGGGUGCCCCGAGGUCUGUAACCCAUAGCUCGUUCCUCUCCCAACCACCACCAGGGCUUCCAGCCCUGUGGGAUCUCCUGGGGCUCUGACAGCCCAGCGGGUCUCGGACCUCCAGCUCUCAAAAGCUGUCCUUGCUCUGAAAGGAGCCAAACAGCCCUCGGUUGGUACGUUUCCAAACUUUGAAAUUGUCGGGGUUUGAACCCAAACCGGCUAAGGUGAAGCAAUCGCAAAACCAGCAAUAAAACUGGUGAAGAGACACAGUUUGGUUACACCAACAGUAUUUAAUCUUCUGCAGAUAUCGCUGUCUUUCCUGUCGGAAAAUUGUCUGAAAAAAGUUGCCCUUCAAAAAACGAGUGCUUUUUUGAAUGUACUGUUAUUUUAAAUCUGGGCAGAACUUCUUCUUCAUGCUGUUUUUCUCCCUCAGUGUUUCUCGGUGGGGGAAAUGACAGUAAAAAGGGUGAGAGAGUGGGAACCAUGAAUUGCAGACGUGGAAUCUGGAAAAAAGGGCUUUUUCUAAAAACUGGAAAUAUUUCAUCUCCAAAUAAAUGGCUUUCUAUACAAAUAUACAUUUAUCAUGAACGUACCAGUUCUUAUUUUCUCAUUGGAAAAAACCCAAAAGUGUUUUGUUAAGCCUUCUGUCCCUCUCCCCAAAAAACAGAGGUGUGGCAAAACCCAAGGACACUGGGAGGUGAUUCAUGUUGUGGCACACAGCAACUGGAUCUGUUCGUUCCUGCCAUUACAAACAGAGGAGGCUUCUUUCCUCACAAAUGCCCACGUUACCCUUGAGGUGAUCUAUAUAAUCUGUCCUACACUGCGUGUUGAAAAGUGUCCAUGUUUGAGAAACAAAUGGCAGUCUUAUUGAGGCAUUAGUCUCAGUUGUAUUCUGAAGAUUUUAUCGAGCUCAACUUUUCUCAACUCCUCCAGACACUACUGCUCCGUUUGUUAUCCCUCACUUAGGGAAUUCAGCUGGCCAGCAUGAACUGCCGUGAAGUUUUCUUGUCGCAAAUUCAUGGCUUCACCAGCGCCGCCAUCCCACUCCGAGGGCGGUGGGGGCAGAGAACAGCGAUGCUCUGGCUGGCCUCAGCCUCUCCUGUCACUCGGUCUUCCUCAGCGUAUCGGUUCUGGGGAGCUCAGCCCAGCUACCAGUAGCCUGCCGUGGCCUCGGAUUUUAUACUCACUUUGCCACUCUCAGAAAGCGUUCUCUGAGUCAGAAAAUAUGGCAGAUGGCAGCUUGUGAGAAGAAAACAGCACUUCAGUGCCAGAUUUAAGCGAGUAUGUAAGUUUUCGUUAAAACAAAAAAACCAAAAAAACCCAACAACAGCGCUAUUUCAAAGGGAAAUAGGAAUGUGCUUAAUACUUCCCUGAGCUGGCGCCAGGUGUUUGAGCCCCAGUCGACUAAAAUUCCUUAGGUUUGAUCGGGGCAGCGCACCGCACCAUGGCCCACCCAGCCGCUCACGUCCUUCGGCCACAGCGUAAGCGGCUGCGCCCAGGAGUGGGAUUCGCAGCACUGCCGGGGGCACGGACACGGGGGCACGGACAACCUCCGAGCCAGACCAAGAGCCGCUGAGCUUGGGGGCGGGGGGGGCUGUCAGCUGAAAACCGCAUCCCACCUUUUCUGCUGGUCCCCCCGGGACACCACGCAAACUCCGUGAAAUUGCAAAGCUGCUUUUCUGAGUGUUUAGCGGGAACUUGGGCAAGCUUUUGGAAAAGGGUGUGAAUUUUCCACUGACCCAUAUUUAUUUGUUUCAUGAAACUACAGCACUGCAACAUCGUAGUCUUUUGUCCUACUUUUUUUCUGAAAGAAAAUAUUUAUUAGGCUUUGAAGAGGAAUAUCACAGAAGCCGGUGCUGUACAGUAGGCUUAGCAUAUUUUGCCUCUCCUGGCUGGAGCACUUGCCGCUCACCUUUUCUCUAAAAAGGUCAUUUCUUACCACUGCCAACCUCCACAUGUUCAUAAAGAAACAGGGCCAGACUGCUCUGCCUCUACACAGGCAAAUUUCAGGUCUUCGGUUAGCUUUUUGUGGUAUGAUUUCUGUUGUACGAGGGUGGAAUAUCUAGAAAUAUGAAAACAGUAUUGUUAUAAUGAGCUGCAGCAAUCCUCUACUGCCAGUCCCAUUGGCUGAGUGAUGAAUGCAGGAAACCACUGCCCAGAUGUGGGUAGCUGUAUGGACAUGGAAAUCAAUGGAUAUUCGAGGCAUGGAUUACUGCAGGGGCGGCUUAUUUGUGCGUAGACAGGUGUAAUGCUGGGGAUAGACUUGAGACAAGUUUUGCACUGCUCUGAAUUCAGUGGAAGGAAACUAUUUUAUAGCAGAGACCGAAAACUCUGGUGGGAAAAGCCGUAGACGAUGACCUUAGAGCCUGGUGUCUGUUCACUGCAUAGUUGAUCUGUAGGACCAUGGUUUUGUGUUCUACUUUCUCUCUAUUUUAUCUGUUUAAACCCCUGCCGUAGACGAUGACCUUAGAGCCUGGUGUCUGUUCACUGCAUAGUUGAUCUGUAGGACCAUGGUUUUGUGUUCUACUUUCUCUCUAUUUUAUCUGUUUAAACCCCUGGGAGCAAGGAUUAGUCUUUACUUUGAGAUUUUAAUAUUCAAGGAUAGAUUAAGACAACAGCGUCCUGAUGUUAGAUGACCAUUAAAUACUAAAUUCUGUUGAAUCCUCCAGCAGCAUUAGUCAAAUCAAGCCCUAAGUCCUAAAAGCUUUAUACUUUCUCCAAAAUAAUUACACCACAGUAUCACCUUUGAAGCCGUGUUGUUCUUUGUUAAUCAAUAAACGAGCAAUUCCUGUGUACGUCAACUGGAGAAGCUCUAGCUGGGUUAGUCGUGGCCCGCCCUUGGCCAAGCCGUAAGUGAAAAGCAGAUUCUCGUGGCUGAGUUACAAAACCACUAAACAAAAUGGAAAUGUUGAUGUUCAUUAUUGAUUUUAUUCUUUGCUGCCAAGGAAUGGUGCUAGUGGGAGCUGUUGUAAUCAGAUUACUUUAAAACUUACUUACAGAAGGAAGUGCUUAAUUUAUCCCCCCUUUUUCCUUUCCCAAAGUGGUACGAUAUCAAGGUAUCAUCUGUGUUUCUUGUAGAACAGCCCUUCUCUUUUUGGUUUUCUCACUGUGUUUGUGCAAUUCAUUUCUUACCACUCCCUAUGAUCUUUUUUAAAAAAAAAAAAUUCCAUGUGUUUUGUCUCCUAAAGUAAUCACUCAUAUUCGUUAUGGAAAAGAAUAGACAACGAUUGUUGAAGAUGUAACCCCCAAAUGCUUCCAAUUUCUGGAAAUACCUAUCGAAAACUAAAUUUACUAAACAUUCAUCUAGAACUCCCGAUGCUGUCAAGUCCCAGAUAUGUGCCUGGACAGCCUGUAUGUCUUUGGGAUUCAAGUCAGACAGGCUGAUACCAGUUUAAGUGAGAAUGUGGGAAAUGCUGCAUUUUGAGUGAUAUGACCUCUCAUGAUCUGUGAGGUUAAAUGGUUUUUCUGAUUUGAUUCUUUACUGCCUUCCCUGUUUUGCAUCAGAUCAAAUCGGGUGUGAAAUGAUAGGAAACCCAAAUGGCACGUUCGCCUGCCCACCCUUCGCUCGUUCGUAGCGCUGUGAGCGAUUGCAGCGAGCACAACAGAGAAAGAGUAAUUAGGCCUUAAUUGCCCCCGAUUAGUCAUAUGUAAUGUAUCAAUAUUACUGGUCUAAGCGUCUGGGGAAGCCGUCCCCGGCCGCUAAUGAAAGGUGUUUGUGGGGCUGGAAGCCGAACUGCCGGUUUCAGCCCAGCUCAGCAGCUCGGAGCCGUCCCCAGCGGUAAUCGCGCCGUGUUUCGUGGGCAGCGCUGGGAACGCGCGAUUCCUGCGUUUCCCUCGCCGUCUCCUUGCGUUCUGCUCAGACUCCCGCCUUCACGCUCACGUCGAACCUGGCUCUCCGUCCUCCCGAGCCCGCGGUGGAUCCCUGAGGGAGGCAAAGCAUUCGGAGCGGGACGAGCCACGGCCGUGCUCAGCCCCGCCACCCGGCCGAAAGCACGCCAGCUCCUCGCAAAAACACGCCUGCCUUUCGAGUGAACGAGACUUUUAAUCUCUGGAGCCAAAGUUAACCCUCUCCUUGCUCUGUCCCGGCCGCAUUCCCUGCCGUUGCUUGGCAGCGAGCGGCUCCGAACCCAGCGACUCCCGUCAGUCUCCCCCCGACCACCGCUAACCGCCUUUGAAAGGAGUGACGAAGUUUUGCUGACUGAGCUGGAUGGCAGCAAAUCUUGAUACCUGCCUCUCAUCGCCUGGCUCGUGGGUUUAUAAUGAUGUAUUUACUCUAGCACCUAGAGCAAAUGAAUUAUAUUAAGCCUCCGCAAAUGGUCGUAAAUAUGAUAGUCUGUGUGAACUGAGGUAAUUGCCUGCUUUAUAUAUGUGUUUAUCUUCACUACAUUGCAUACACAAUGUGCAUUAUGUCAAAAAGAUGAUAAAGGGCGGCCAUAAUGCUCCUGAACUGCAUAACUCUUUUUAGUUUAUGACUGAGGCUCGGUGUUAUCUUAUGCAAAGUUAGCUGCAGUAGGUUUAAUAUAAAUUAACAUACUUAUAAAAUGUCAAGGAGCAUUAAUUGACAAUUUCUGAGGCCUACCUCGCUAAAUACCAAUUCAGUUCUGAAACCUGUCUCUGCAAGUUUAAUGUAUGAAAAAUAAUGCUUAUUCAUGAGUGGCUUAUGUAACUUGGAAUUAAUUACAUGGCAGCUAGAGCUAGCUGUUACAGAUGGUCUUUCCAUAAAACAAGAUGCUGAAAAUAAAGUUUCAAGCCCCACAAGGGAACUUCUGGGCUGGGUAUUCAGCACUUUGGAAAACCAGGGCACAUCAUCUUGUGUGUAAAUAUCGACUUACUAACCUAAUUCUGGACCCACUUUUGAAAGAGGACUGGCAUAUAGAAAAGCAUUUAACUUCAGCAGCUUCUCCUUCAUUUUGAAUGAGUAUAGCAGGCAGGGUCUGCGGACGAAACCCAGCGUGCUCCCCCACCAUUCUCCCUCAUCUGGAAAAUGGAGAUGACCCCGAACAUCUCCAGCUGAAAAAGGCACCAGGAAAGUGCUGAUGUCUCUAUGAGGAGGUUAUCUGCUCCCCUCUCCAGCUUGUGCUGCUUCCAGCAGUGAGUGCGGUCAGCUCGGCACCGCAGCGUGCCCGCUUUCAGAGCUCGUGGGAACUUUAUUGCCUGCCUAAACAAAGUUAAGUACGGCUGAAGGAUGAGAUUUUAAAGCAUUUAUUGAUUUUCCUUUAAUAUUUUGUUAUUUCUUUUCCAUCAGUACAAUAUUUACUUUAUCUAGUGCACUGCGGUAUAAGUCUGUUCCCAGAAUAUUAUGCCCAUAAUGUUAUUUUCAUAUAUGGGCAUACAGAUAUAAAAUGAAAGAUUGCCUGUAACUCACUUAAAAUAAAUAACACAAAACACCAUCUAGGAAACUCUGCUAUCCGAGCUCAGCACUCUGCAGCUAUCCACGCUCCGGUUACCCGAGUCGGAGCGGGGAAGGGCAGACCUUCCCAGAGCGCGGCGUGGAGGGAUGGGUUUCCUUGGCAUCAGAGGAGGUUUGCAGCGUUUGGGGCCCCAGAGCUGUGCACUAACAGGUUUCUAUGGCAACUGGCUGGUAAACCUGGGGAUGGGGGGGGACUUGCCCCGUCGUACCUGCAGCUUUUACCUUUUUUUUUUUUUUUUUUUUUUUUUAACCAAAUAGACCCUUCUUUCAUGUUUUUCCUCUUCUCUUUUUUGCAUUGCUGCUGUUGGAACACAGGGUUUAUCUUCCCAUCCUCUGCUGCUCACGAAUGUCCCGGGAAAUUCUGUGAAGGGCCGUAGGGCACCGGGUGCGUUUGCCCGUGGGCGCUUAGUGUUAUCGGUGUGGAUCACCGUCAGUGUGUUCAAGAUUUGUUUGUGUUUCUCCCUCAUGCCCACGUGGGACAUCAAACCCUUCCCGUUUCAGAUCUUCCCUGCUUCUUCAAAGUACAGAACUUACGUUUCCUUAUGUCCACCUCCUUCAUGCUGUCUUUGCCAGAGAUUAGAAGCCGAGGGCAAAGACGCAGGUUAUCAGAUCCAUAGGAAGAAGCAGCUUGGUUUAAUCUGAGUUACCAGCAAGAGGUGACAAGCUGCCUUUGGGGAUGAAUUACGGGCUGGACCAGUGGCCGGUGGCGUGGACUGCAAGGAUUUCCCUGGGCAACCUGCUGUAGCUGCCCCUGCUUGAGCAGGGGUGGGAUGGGACGGUCUCCAGAGGUCCCUGCCAGCCCCGGCUGUCCUGUGCCUCGGUCAGUGAUAGAAUUUUGGAGUAGAGUCUACCCCACCAUGCUAGUGGUAGUCCAAGUGCACAGCAGGAGGUCGUCCACGUCCCGAAGAUCUCCCCAGAACGGGGAGGACAGGCGGUGAGGAAGGAUGGGGCGAGAGCGGAGCAGCUCCUCUUUCCCCUAAGUUAAGCCUUCCCCUGAGGUCAGUGGCAAAAAUGAGAGCAGAAACAAUCUUCCCAGCAGACAGCAAGCGCUUCUUCCCCUUAACCACCCUGCCCUUGUCUUUCUGCUUGCUUUCUCAUCCCCUGCUUCUCCCAUCCAGCCAUCCCGGUGGCCCGCGGGGAGACAAGCCUCUCUCUCUUCAAAUCUCCUCGUGUCCUUCGUAACUGUGACUCGUUGUUCGCUUGGGCUUUUGGGGGUUUUGUUGGUUUGGGGUUUUACUUUCAACAGCAACACUGUGAAAUUUCAGGAGGUGCCACGGAUGCUGCCUGUCGUCCCCUCGCAGAGGGAGGCAAGCCGGCGGGGCUGGUGGCGGCGGCAGAGCGAGGACCACCAGCUGGAGCCCCUCGAGGCUUUUUUGGGAGCGAGCCAGGCAGGCCACUUCGGCUGAGUAUCAAAAGCAAAUGCCUGUAAGGAAGGACAUUUAUUCAGUGCAGAAGAAACACACUUCUUAUGUGCAUCUGCUGAACAUGAUCUGGUUAGUAUUUCAACAUGCAAAGGCAGGUGAUGGAAGGAUUCUGGAAGGAAAGUGAAAAACGACAUAAAGGAGCUCGAACAACAGCUGUGCACUGGCAAGGAGUACAAAGAAAAGUAGGAAGAACUGGAGAUAAUCCUAAAUGACACAGACUUUGUUUUCCUAGUUAUCGCUAAAACAUGGUGGAAAGAGUCUCGGGAAAUGGCAAGUCACUAUUUCCACAGGCUUUCUGAAUCUCUGAGCCUUUUUUCCUUUAUCUAAUAUCCUAGACCUGAUUUGAAAGGUACCUGAACACCAAGAGGUUCUGAUUAGCAUAUAGAAAAUGCACUGCUCCCCUAUUCAAACUCUUGCACAUCUGUCAAAUUGGAAAAUUCUGCCCUGUAUCCUCCGGUGAGAGUUAGUGAAAUGGGUGUAGUGGGUUCUCACAGGGAGAGGGAGGCAAUGUGCAAGUGGGUAAGUAUUUCAGAGAUUGCUCCAUGGUGAAAUUGUCUCAGGCAAUGAAUAAUUUUUUGACUUUCUAAAGGUCAUUUUAAGUUCCCUUGAACUUUUAAAGUUGGCUAUUUAAUAAAAUAAAAAGAAAGAAAUAUUAGUAUAGAUAACUGUCAGCCAGGUGAGAUAUCCUGAGAAAUGCUCUGGCGGGUUAUGCCACUUCAGCGACAGCUUUUGGGGAAGAGAGCAGUCAGCAGUGCUGCCUUCCCUGAUGAUCGUCUGAAAUUGAAAUACCGUCUGUCCCUCUUGCAGCAUAUUUAAGUGGAAGUUCAUUGCCCCGCUGGGUGCCCGGAUUUUAUAACUGACCUCUGAGAAGUAACUAAGCCAAUCUUCUGUCUCCACUUCUUUAAAUUAAAGCCCAAAGUCUGGUAGUCUGAACUGGCCAAAGGCACCAACUUUUAGAGUGGAAGAGACCAGGCUGGGUCCUGCCCCUUUUUUUCUAGGACCCCCUUAGGGCAGCUCUGGGUGCUUUUAAAGUGAUUCGUGGGGCUGAUGAGGUGCUGUCGUGCUGACCAUGGCUAUUCUUGGAUGUUUGGUCUUGGAAGUUUGGUGCUCCGCAGGUACCAGGUCUUAAGCCCCCGGUGGUAGCGAAGGAGGAGCGGAUGGAGGCUGUGCUUGGUGGCUUGGGAAAUGGGAGGCUCCCGCGAUGGAGAAGGCUGCAGGCUUGCGGCUUCGGGCACCAGGAGGAAAGCUUCUGCUCCACCUGCAGAUCUGCAGCUUGGGAAUAGAGUCAGCGCCCUGGCAGCGGUGAGCACCCGAGCUGGCAGAGCCCAAGCCCCACACCAGGAGGGUCAGGGUCAGCAGCCAGACCGACACGGGUACUGCUGGAGGGAGCAAGGCAAAAAGCAGUACGCAGAAAGGCCAGGAGUGACAUUGGCUUCCCCAAACUAUCUCCUCCUUCUUCGUGCCGGAGCAGACUUGCAGCCACGCAGCGGAGCAGGGUCUGGGCUCUGCAGCACCAACCUUUCUGGCCACUAGACUUCUUGGCCGGUUACCAGGCAUUUUCACACAAUGAACCAUAUGGGAGUCAAUGAAAAAGGUGUCAAUGUGCAGCGCAGCCUGGCCCUGUGGAUGCUGAUUGAUAAAGCUGGUGGAUGGGUAAAUCAUCAGCUUUGAAGACUGGAUUUUCUUCCAAAACCAUCGAAUAAAUAAGACAAGCAGAAGAACUAAAUGGCAGGGAGGAUGUGCGGCGCAGCUCCUUCCCCACGUUACCAGAGGUUGCUCAGAUUUCUGUACUCCAACUCUGAUCUUCCUGGAUUUCUGAUUUGGAAAAUACCUUUGCAGUGAGGUACCUGCUCAGAAGGUGUGUGGACCCAGCCUCAACUUCUUUUUUUUUUUUUUUUUUUGUUUCUACCAGCGGGAGACUUUCAAUCGUCAAUCAGUGGUACAGCUCAGGGUGGUCUGUGACUAAGCUGGAAAUGCUUGAAGGAAUAUUGGAUGGAACAUUGCCCACAUGAGAAAUUGGGAGGUGGGACCUGCGCUGAAGCCGUGAAGCCGUCUCGCCGUUCCUGUGCCGCUGUGGACCAAGGAGGUCUUAGGGACAAGAGGCCAGAUUCUUCACCUUUACUUCCAGCGAGGUAUGCUCCCCACGGACCUCACGGGGUUACUCGUGGAGGAAACGCCGUUCCACAAAGCGGAGCUCAGCUGGGCGUGGUUUGGCCUCCACCGUCCGGUGGUUUUAAUUAUGGAGAGGACCCUGCACCCGAAAGGCAAUGGCAGGAAAACGCUGAAGUCAUUGCAGGUCAAACUUUUGGUAUCGCUUUAAAAAAAGGAGAAGUUGGGCUAUGGACGCAUGAGCAAGUUGCCCUAAGGAUCCCAUGUAUCAACUGACCUGUGAGAACCAUAUCCUUUCUGCAGUGAAAGCCCGGCAAUGCAAGUCAGGUCAAAAAGGAGACUUGCCUGGGAUUUUUCACUGUGUUUUUCCCACCCAGAUCCCACUAAAGCUGAGUGCGUGAUUUUGCUGUAAAAAAGAUGCUGAUUUGCAAGAAUGCAAAACCUGUGCUGACAUCAGUGGGAGUUGUGUAUCUGGAAUGAUUAAAGACCAAAACCAAUGAUAUGACUGCGUUGUAUUAGCCUGGGAUCUGGGAAAUGAGUACUCUCUGCUCUGCAACUGUGUCUUCUUAAUAAGGGGCAACUUAAGGUGACCGAAAACCCAGUCCUGCUGAUCAUCUGCACUGUGAACUUCUAAAGUCAUUUCCCAGCAGCUGCCCAGUUUGACCUUGAAAGCUGUGAUGAACGUCUAGGUAAGGGCAGGUCUCCAGUCUGUCCUCACCUCCAAGCCCACGUACCCGGCGUGAUGGGCCGGACCGUCCACCGGCAGCAACAGCCUCGUCCUCUCCUCCGCGCUCCCAGGUCCUCGCUGCGUUGCUUCUCCUUCCACAGCUCCUCGGAUGAGCUGAGCUCCCAGGGACACCCCCUGCAAGAAGGGCUUUCUCAGGUACUGUGGUAAGAGGGAUCUAUUCAAUUGCUAUGGCUGUAGAUAUCUUCCACUAUUAUUUUUUCCCAAACAUCAUCUGAUUUACUCCAGUGAUAAAUCCAAUGUUCUGUAUAAACAUUUAUUUCCUUGACAACCUAGUUUUCCAUUAGAAAAAUGCCCAAACGUGGGACCUAUUAUGGCAGUUGAUGGGCAAAAAUUCAGCUUGUGCGGACUCAUGCUGUUUAGCAUAUAUAGCCCAAGAGUGAGAAAAUGGCAUGUGUCACAAACCCACAACCACCUUAUUAUACUGCGAGAGCCACAGGGGAUGCACACGGUGACAGGGAAGCCAGGUUCUUUUCAGCCCUUUUUCAUAUUUGGAGUGUUAACAGGGCCAAGAUUAAAACAUCUGAAAUGUCUUUCAGUGGUAAGGACCCCCAAAGUAAUGAUUCUUGCAGACUAAUUGCCCCCCAAACAAUUUUUUAACCCACUGUUUGAUACAGUUUUACCUGUCAAGCUAAGGAGAGGUGUCAGAAAGCUUUUCGUUUCCACGAAAAGCAAAAUGAUGCAAAAAGCCAGGAGCCUGGCAGGAGAGGAUUUUCCCAGCUGAGAAUUACAAAAGAACAUCUUCGUUUCAGAGACGAGUUCAGAGGUGAGCAUGUAAACCAGCCAGGCACGGUACCACGACCAGCACAAAGCCUCGGCGCAGGCUUAGCAAGGAUGCCUGCUGGCACCCUGAACAUCACGGAGAAGGUUGCUUCAGGUCUCUGGUUUUAGGGCUGAGCUUUGCCUCAUUUUGUUAUGAUCGGACGUUGGGUGCUGAGGGUGUGCGGUCUCCGGUUGUGCCUGGAGAGCCAAAGAACCUCCCCAUAAGCCACGACCCGCAGCUGGAGCUUCAGGCACUCUGGUAGCACAGGCAGGUUAUCAUUCACAAACAUCCUCAGAGGCUCCUGUGCCAUCAGAAAACAGGGAGGGCAGGUCCAGCAGGCUCUCCCCUCUUUCUUGUUUGCUGGCCAUGGCUCAGGAGUAGAAGACAUGGACCGUAUGUCGGGGGGGGGGGCUGCUCCAGACCUGCUGGAAUGCAAUUACCUCCGUGGUGCUUCAUCAGCGGUUUCCAUAUAAAGAGUAUUUUGGAAGGAGCAGAAAAAUGCUUUGUGCAAUUAAAAAUAUCAAAAAGGACUUGGGAUGGUAGAAUGUAAAUAACUAAAUGACCAAAUCAGCUUUCUCUUCUUGGAAGAGAUCCAUAACACAGAUGCUGGAGGGUAUAUUGUCUUUUGAAUGGCUCUGUCCUAUUCCUUCCUCAGCUGCCUGUACCUCCUGCUCUGCCGUGACACUGCUAGGCACCCUGCAUUGCCACACUCGAUUUGUCCAAAUAAUGGUCUUUCGAAGAAUAAUGCCCCUUUCCACAAGGUUGAGAAAUGGCUGAAUCAGUGAAAGCAGCGCUUGGAAGUUUUCCUGGGAGGUUACUGUCUCAAGUACUGGUCAGGACCUCAUCCUGCUCAGCCCGUUAGAAAUGCUGACACUGCAAACCCCGCUGGUGAGAUUUCAGGCUGUAGUCUUUCCCGUUAAAAACACCACAAAUAACCUCCCUUGCUACAGAAUGAAAUAUGAACCUGGGUUUUUUUUCUGAUUUCCACAAGUAAAGCCAUUAAUGUCUGGAUGCAAAGCUGCUUUCCACAUCGGCAGGCAUCCAACCCAGAUGCAAUUUUCAAGUGAAAUCAUCAUUAAUGUGAUAGUGCAUGUGAAAGACAGGUUUGUGUAGCUGUGGUUAACGAGACUGCUUUCACUUAGAUGGGCCCAGAGCAUUAAAUCUGUAUUCUGGUUAUGUUUGGUCCAGAGUAGAUGUGCUGUAGUCCAUGUCAGGUGCUGCAAAUGCAAACCUAUACUAUUUUCAUUAAAAUCAAAUCGAGAUCUUAACAAAGCAGCUAUAUUUUUGGCACCUAAUUUGUUCUGUUAAAAAAAAUUAUUUAUUUAAAAAAUUAAUAAUGCUAAUAGUCAUCUAAUUAUGUGAAAUGCUCACAGUUAUUGCUUUGACUUUUUCCUUGGGGACGUGUCACUAAAAAUGAAAGAUGUUACUUUAAUACCGGCCAAAGCACAAUUCAAACCCAGCCACUGUUGACGUGAUACAGCUUUUCACCUGAGCAAAAGAGUCCGUGUUGCAGGAGCUCCAAGAGCAGUUUUGUUCCUUUAAAGUAAAUGAUUUUUGAAUCAAAACCAUUGAUCAGCUACUGUCAUUUGUCUAUUUUUUCUGUUGGUGCCAAAAGGACUCUGCUCCUUCUACCUCUACAAAGAUGCACAAUCUGAGCAUUCACUGAACAUCCAGUUUUGCUUGAAGCUUUGUGCUUAGCGAUACAUAAGAGGUUGAGAAAUGCUGAGAAAUAGGGUAUUAAGUGUAGGAUACUGCAUCCAUCCAGUUAGGGGCACGGGAGAAACUAAGUCCUCUCGGUCUUUAACCUCGUUGAAUCCUUUGGGCUGGCGUAGACCUUGCGGCUGCUGCAAGGGAGAGCUGUACCUGGGUGGGCUUUUCAACUAAACCACCCGCGUGCGAGCAGCAGCGAUUGAUUUGGUACCCGGUGUGUGGUACCGAUGGAUAAACCCUGCUUUUUCAGACAUCAGUACCGGCGCCUGGCAUUUGCAAAACAGAUCUCUCUAGAAUCGCCUUCACACGGUAUUGGGGGGCUUUCGAUCUCUUUGGGUAUUGCGAGGCGUGGAACUGUGUGAGAACAAAAUGUAACACAAAUAAAUGAUGACAUGAGAGAGAUGAAGGUGGUAUGGGUUAAGGAGGCAGGAUUUGGAGUGGAAGAAAAAAAAUUUCAAUUUUUCCAAUGCAGCUCACCAGUCCCCUGUGUGCGGACUAAUUUUAGAGAUAAUUGUUACAUGAUUUCCUGAAUAUAAUCUAUUGUUAUCUGUGCCCUGCAAAAUAAAGCCGUGUCUAAUUCUGGAUAACCACAGGGGUGAUUUCACAGUUACACUGAAAUGAGACUAAGGACUUGUUAAUGAUCUUUAAAGAUCACAUCAUUUAAUUCUGUGCUGUUGGUAGUUAAACCAAACUAGUCACCAAGGGGUAUGCGCUCCUUCCAGUGCAGGCAGCAGCCCCUGUACGUUCCGGCGGCAGGGAGAAAGGAAGAAGCCGCUGGUCGCACAUCCCACCUCGGUGCGCCAGUGUCAGACGAGUGUUUGAGACAAGGCAUGGGAUAAUUUGCUAUUUCGCUUGCGUAACUAGUCCGCAACCUGGAGCAAAGGGUUUAAAGGGCAGGUCCUGCUGCUGCUGAGAGUGUUUCUGAAGUGCUCAGAGCCUCUGCCUCCCCAAACGGCGAAUGUGUGACAUGGUCUGAAGCAGGCGGGAAUUACCGGCCAGAAAAUGCUCACUCUCCAACGGGGCAAUUAGGAACAAUGGGAGCUGCUGGGCACUUGAUGGGCUGGAGUUAAAAAAAAACCCCACUGUGGAAAAGUACCAACAACUCAGGAGGUGAUGCUGCUAUUUUUCCUGCUUUCCAGUGUUUUCCUGGCUUCAGGUGUGAUUCUCCACUGUAAUGAAACCUUCGGAUUAGCUUAUGGAGGGAGAGACAACUCACCUUAAGGAGCGAAUGAUAGAAUCACAUUUAUCUGUGGUUUCCAUUAGAAAAGAAGAAGGGAGCAAUCAGUUCUCCUCUCCUCUCCAAAAACAGGUCCCAGGAGCUCAUUAGAUGGAAAUAAUGUGAUGAAGAGCUAAAGUUCACCCAACAAAAUAAGGUAAAUUAUUGUCAGCUUACUGGAAAUGAUUAAUGGAUUUUGAUACAUUUUGUCAAAUAGUUGUGAACAAAAAGGAAAGAAGAUGAUCAGAAAAAACAACAACUUUGAGAGAUGUUUCUGACUUUUUUUUUUUUUUUUUUUUUUUUCAAAAUGGUGCUUUCAUUUCAUGGUUAGCUAAAAAAUGCCAUCUUGGAGGCUUUAAAGGACUGUAAAACCUAACCAGGCUGGACAAAAGCUACUAAGUCACCUUGAAAUAAGUUUUUCAAAUGUUUAGUCAAUGAAACUUUUUUUGGGGGUGGGUCAACCCCAAAAUAUGUUUUAAUACCUUUUUCCUUUACUUGCUUUGGCUACAAAGUGAAAAAAAAAAAAAAUCUUAUGAUUUCGCAGAGACCAUCGAACUGGUCCCACCUGCACCAGCAGUUCAGAAUUUACCACCACCUUAACUAGCUGUAUGGUGUUUAGAUACAACAAAAAAGGUAAAACUCUCUUAUGAGCUUUUUUUUAAAUCCUGCUCCCUUUUUUUUUUUGAGGCCUAGGAGGCACAUAAAAUGCAAUUCUCAGCAGAAGGAGGGUAAUUGGGAGAAAAUGUAAUAGAUGGUCCACAUUUCUCUUUGAAGUUCCCAUUGAUCAGUGUUGCUGAGACUAUUUUUCUAAUCCUUGAGUCAGAAACAUGAAGGAAUUGUCACUUUAUUCUUUGGUUGUAUGUGGUUCACCUCCUAAGAAAAUAGACUUUGGACUCCUGAGUAGCCUUUAUUCAGGUUUUUCUUGCAAGAUGGUGUAAAAUGGGAAAGAAUCAGGACCCCAGUUGUAGUAUUUUUUUGAAUACAAAUUUUCCUGAUGUUAACCAAGAGAGUAGUGGUUUUAUGAUUUCUUUUUUAUGUCUGAAUUUUGUGUGAGAAAACUACGUCUAAUACCUUCUACUCAAAAAAUGUGCUUUCAGCCAGUCAAGCGUUAAUUAGGAGAUGAUUACCCCACCUCCUCUCCACUGGAGAGGCAGCUUGUGUUGAAAACCCAAACUUUUCACAAAGAGGGAAAAACCAUCUGUCCAAACGAUGCUUAAGAAAGAGAUUUUUUUUUUUUUAUGCUCACAUUAGUUGAAUCGACAUGUAAUAACUUGUUUUCGUAAUGAAGCCAGUUAGUAGGACACAUUUUCAUGCCUCUAAUUGACACAGCUAUGAUGGCAAACCUGCUGAAGUAGCUCUGGCCACAGCUGUUCGGAAGAUCAGGGAGUUCCAGCCAGAUGCUUAACCAGCACUGGGACCACGGACACAGAAACCUCUCUGGAAUCGUACAUGUGCAGAAAAAAUAUCCUGGUGUUUAAGGUGCCACUUGUACUGAGAAAACAGUUUCUCUGCAUGGUCAAGCACUGCCAGGUCUUGAUCUCUUUGCGUUUCGGUAUCUCAACUGAAAAACAACCUUCCUUGGCAGGAGUUUCCAAAGAGAAAAUAUUUAAGACUUUGAGGAUCUCGUGUACAGCACUGCUGGGGCCAUGGAAGUACCUGAUAUGGGGGAAACCUGGUCACAGAGAGGCUGCUGGCUUGGAAAAAACUUCUGAUGGCCAGAAACAAAACUGGAUCUAUGACACAGAAGUUUUCAUAUUCUACUGCCCUUCCCUUGUUUCAAACAGAGCGAAAUGGGCUCCCCACACCUACUGCCCAAAGGUGAAAACACUCAAAACCAGGAGGCGUGUACUCAGGUUCCUGACUACAUUUUAAUAAGAAAGAGAGGGAAAAAUUACGAGUGAGGAAAUUAUGGUGAUCCAGAAUUCAGAAUAAGAGUAAUUAAUAAAUAGUGAGUAGAGUUGUGAAGAAAAUGAAUUUUUCAAGGACUCUGAAAAACAUGUUUAGAGCUGCAGUCUGGAACCUGCAGGCAGAGUAACUGCAAACAUCAUGUAUCUGCUCACAUUAGAUCUAUCAGAAGUUUCUUAAUUAGCUACUUCUAAAAUACCCUUUGCAGCUGAUGUCAUACUAAUGAAGUGGUUAGUAUCUCCCACCCCAGAAGUUCUAGGUCACGUACAACAACCCUCCACACGCAGGGGAGAGCAGCGAUGGGCAGGGGCGAGCCCGGCUGCGCGGAGCUGCUGGGCUGCUGCUCUCUGGAAGGAGUGAUGCUUUCCACAGUUUUGUCCUGGUUUGAAGAAAAGGAAGGAAAAUGGUGAUUUCCUAUGUGACGUGUUCUACCAAACUGUCUUCGGGUAGCAGGGUUUUUUAAGACUCACAUAUUUGUAAUGUGUUGCCCUGUUGCUGCCCUGCUACAUACCCCUGCUUUUGUACUUUCUUUGUGCCAAGCACACUGGUUCCCACUCAGGGACUGACUAAUAAUUCUUCAUAACAGCCUUUUGGGUGUUUUUGGCAUCUAUUUUUGCCCAGAAAUCUCCUCCUCUUCUCCAUUUAGGAAUACUAUAAGAUCUUUCUCCAUGGUCAGACACUUCAGGACAAGCUGUGGUCAUUGUGUAAGCGCAGAGCACAAUCCAAAUGGAAAUGGAAAUGAAAACAAUUAAAUAUACAUGACAAGUAGGUAUUUAGAUGAGCCUAGAUUUCUUAAUGGUUCAUUUCAACCUUUGAACUAAAUUAAAUGUUGCUUUCAUCUAUUUUUAAAGAAAUGUCUAUUUUUGGUUUGUAGAUGCCCUGCUCCAUCUGUUCUUUAGAUGGUUUUUACUUAAACUUAAAUAUAGCACCCAUUGGCUGUGUUUGUACAAAGCACGUAUGCUUUUUAUGCCACCAUAGAUGAGGAUUCACACAAACCUAUCAGCAAAUGCAUGGCCUAAAAGGUAGAUUGACAAGCAAUUACCUCCAGGUUUCUUUUGAAUGUCGAGUCCUCUGUAUUUGGUGGUGAUUGAUAUUAAUUACGCGGUGCUGGCACAUUUUGCACCGUUGCACUUACAGGGUGGAUUUUUGGACCUGCUUCUUCCAGUGCCCCUCUGCAGCUUCGCACACAGAAGCUGUAAGUACUGCGUGGACUAAAACCAGCAGAGCUUCUCAGAGCAAUCAAAGGACCCAGAACAUAUAUGGCAUGUACAUGGUUGAGCAGCCACGACGGGAGCCGGUCGCGGGGCUCUUGGCAGUCGUUCCCCUUGGAGCAGCUCUUGGGACUCUCAUUCUCACUCGGACGGUCUGAAAAUCAGGGACGGGGAAACCAAAAACCUGACUUUGUUUCUGGCCCUGUGCUAAUGACAGGCAAUCUAAAUACUGAGACACGGCACAGAAAAAUCAGGGGAAAGUUGAUCAAGGUUGAAUGUAGAGAAAGCACGUUUGGACCUUGCAGCCAGGAAAGAGAGGGAGAGGGAUAUUAUAUUUCUCUGAGCUUUCAGGUUGCCUUGCCGUCUCCAAGCAAGAUGACAGCGGAUGUCUUGUAAAUAUUUAAAGACGGAGUCUGACCCACCCCGUGCGGUGCUACGCUGCGUAAAGGUAAAGUCUGGCAGCAAUCUUCCAAUAUUUAAAUAUGUCGAUUCUGAAAAUGUAGCUAAAACGGCUACUCCUGCCAUGGAGGCAUUGGGGUUUUUUAAUCAAUAUGUGAUAGUGUAAUGCCAUAUAACAUCUGUGUGUUAUUUCUGGGAUGCUGGUUAACUUCAUUAGUGGAAACUGUUCAGACAAAAAUGUGGCAGGAUUUUCCCAGGGAUGACAAGGUGCUGUCAGCAGAGGCCAGUGUAUCGCUAACAUCUAUUUGUUUGUCUCCUCUAACAUCUCUUUGUUUGUCUUUAUUUUUUUCAUUCUUUUGAAGCUUGCUGCGUAGCAGCAAAGGUGUAACCACUAUUCUGUCCAUGGCGGAUAGUGACAUUAAGUAUUACUUUCUGGCUGGAAUAGUCCCUCUGAACUGAAGAAUCUGUAAGGUGUUUUUCACACAUUACUCUGCAGAAAUAGGAAGGCAGCUUCCUGUAUGUUUUCACAGAGGAUGGCAUCACUUCCACGGUGCUGGGCAGCAAGGCUCAAGAUGCUGCGAGAAAAUGCUACAGGCAUUUCUUUGUCAUCUCCCUGGGCCUGCGCUGCACUACCGAUGUGCAGGGCUGACAGUGAGCUUGCCUUUUCUUUCGCUCCCAUCAGUAGGAAAUCAGUGCUUUUUGAUGCAAUCCCAGUACAUCGCUCUGUAUUUCCUGUGCAGGGACACAAAUACACCUUUGAACUUGCAUUCCUCCUUUUCCACCAUCUCUCCUCGUGCUGGCCACGGUCCCAGACCCACCGGAGAAGGAAGCCCUUUGCUCCUGUUGCAGGAGUGGGAUUUCCACAGUUGCAAAGUUGAGUUUCCAAGGUGGCUCUGUAUGUAUUUUAUUUUACCUGAUCUGAUUCUUAUUAUGGAUUUUUUUGGUUUCUGAGAGUUCUUCACCCAAACCAGUCACCAGUAGGGGUUUAAAUGAUAGGAAACAAACUGAGCGGCUGGCUGGAGGAACGGGAUCUCCUGGCCACCCUUGCUUUGCACGUACUGUCAUGGAGCUGUGCAAGAGCAAUGGAAAUUGCAGCACUGCUUCCAUUUCUGUUGCAGGGGAAUCAUGGAGGCAGGUUUCCCCAACAAUCGGUGCUGGCGGAAAGACCACGGGCUUGUCGUACGCUUGCAAGGACACGGGCUGCGUGACGAGGGCUGGGUUUGGUCCUCCUUGGCAUUCCCAGCCCUCCUCUGCGAGCCUCGGGCUGGGGAAGGGCGGAGGUGGGAGGUGGGAGAUGGGAAGGCAGCGAGAGCCUGCGGAUGGUGGGCUAGCGAGGGAGGUGCAACAGGGAGUGUGGGGAAGUACGAAGGGAAAUAAAAAGAACAGAAAACGAGAAGAAAAAAUGGGAGAAAAAAAAAACCUGUGAAAUGUAGCACAUGAAGAACAGAAAGAUAUUUGCAUGUUCUUCACUCUUUAGGGUAGCUCGAGUGGAUGUAUGUCACGGUUUUGUCUCCAUUUGAUAUAACGGGUAUUGGCGUUUGAAUUCUGGUUGAAUGGCUUCAGCCCCUUGCAGGUGGGAUGGCUCCGCAGCCAGCUCCUGCACUCAGCAACCACGGCACAGGGCAGCCGGAGGAAAAAACUCCCGUUGUAAAAACCAGUCUGGGAGACGUACAUACACUUGCAGUUUACCACGAGUACGUAUUGAUUAGGGCAACAAUGUCAUUUUGUUUUGUGCUGAACAAUCCAGCGUUUGGAAUUGAGACCUGUCAGGAGCCAAAUGACUUAGCGGAGCAAAUUGAAAAGAACAGGCUAUAAAUUGCAAGGGAAUUCACUUCGUGGUUAACACUCGGGCGUGCUGUGAGAAACAGGACUGUACACAAACUGCCCUGCCAUGCAAAUCCCAAUCAAUGUGCUGACAAAGUGUCCUGCUGAACCCUGGUGUCUCACUCAAUAUUUCUUAAAAUAGACAUAAUUUAGGAGGCAUGGGAAGGCAUACAUUUUCACCUUAAGUGAUGCACAGAUGGGAGGUACUGUGGAAUUAAUAAGCAGUGUAUAGAUGAGCUUUGUAGCAGCCUUACUGCAUUUAUUUCAUAUAUAUAUUGCUAAACCGUUCUAAAAUGGCUGUAACUGAAAAAGGACCUACUUGAUAUGUAUAACACCACUUCCCUUCUCCAGUAUGUGUUCUGAAAAGUCAGUACAAUAUUUUUUCCUAAGUAUAAAUCCAGGAAUUGCCAGAAAACUAGGUCAAUACAUUCAUGGAGGAAACUAGUAAGCCCCCCUCCCAGCAAGCGCACCUCGCUGUGCAGGUUACAAACCCCGUGCCACAGUCAGUCACCGCGCAGCAUCUCCGCUCUGCCACAGGCUCCUGUGGCUUUUCAGGAGCCCCGCGUCUCUUUGUGCACUUCAGUGCUGACCACCAAAUUCUGCCCGAUGGUCUUACUCAGCUCCUCAGGCAUCUCAGGCUGGAUUAUCAUCCCCUCCAACUCUCCAUACGGUGUUCUCUGCAGUUGUCACCCAGCUCGGCUUCCAACCACCUCCUGCUCCUUUGUGCUUAAGCAAAAGAUGGUGGUUGGAGAGAUACUAAGGUUUCAAAAGGCAAUGGCCAAAGCAUUUUAAUGUCAUAUCUUUGCUGUUUAGUCUUGGGCAAUUAGAAAAAUCAGGAAAAAUGAGUGAACGCUCACAGAGAUAUUUGAUGUGCAAAAGGAACUUACAAAGUAUUUGGAAUGGUACUGAUAUCGGUUGGGCUGAUGGCUGUUAAAAGCAAUUCUGAGCAAGGAGGAGGGUAUAUUGCAAAGAUAAACCAAGGUGGCUUUGGAUACUGUUUGUUAGUUCAGCCAUACAGCAUGGCAGCCAGCUUUUACAAAAAUCCUGCUUGACAGCAAGCCAAGCAUUGAUGAAGCAGCUUCGCAGUAUUAUUAAAUUUACAAUACUAAUGGGAGUGAGAGCAAAGAAAGGAACACAGUUACCAGCUUUAUGGGGGGGACUUUCAAAUGCAGUAGAUAACAAUUUCAAGAAUUAUUUAGAUCCCUGUAAAACCGUCUUAUCCCAGAUUACUCUUCCUUAAAUUACAGAUUAUCUUUCUUACCAGUGCGACCGUGUCACGUUUCAAUCCAAGGGCAAUUUGUCCUUUACGUGGAGGGGACCCAUGAGUAGUCUGAAGCCGUAAUUCGCCCUUUUGGUCAGCUCCGGGAAGGAGCCGGCUCUGCUGGAGGGGGAUUCAUGCUCACCGUGCUCAUCGGCACUCCCCAGCCCGCUGCCAUGUGUACUGGGAAUUUGGGGGAGGUUUGGAGGUGGGGGUGAAAAACAUGAAAUGUAAAGAGAAAUUUGGACUGACACUUGACAACUUUCUGUUUUGUAAAUUCUAGAGGAAUUUGAAUUGCAUGAUAUGCUUUUACUUGCAAAUGUUUCAGAUUUGUUAUUUUCCCCUUUUCUACACAUUUUAAGCUUAUAGCAUUGUAUAAUCUUUUUUUUUUUCUCUAUCCUUGCAGAGGAAUGAGUAGAUAGCAGUCUGCGAAAGCAGUCUAUUUCUGACUGAAGAUAAAAUAAUCUACAAGAUGUUCAUAGUUUUAAUUUCCAGUUGUGCAAGAGCUGAUGCUUCUGGAAAGGUGUGAUCUUUAAACCUGUAGUAAACUCAGAUGUCUCUCAGCAGAGCUCUGUGGGAGCUCCGUGUUUGUUAGAGGAGCAAAAUAUUGGAGCUACGAGAUUGUCUUGAAAUACAGUACUUUGUGGAAGAGCAACUGGAGAAAAAUAAGCAGAUGUUAAACUGAAAGGACUGCAAUGCAAUUCAGUCCUGGGCUGAUUUAUGCUAAGAAAGGGCAGGAGAAGCCGAACGUUUAAGGAGGCUGGAAGGGAAUAUUAGACAACAGUAGGAGAUGUUUAGAUAAACAAUAAACAACCUGCUGAGCACAAGGAUUAAGGGAUCAGUGGGAGAGAGAUGUAAGAAGAAAUGAAGGGGAAAAAGAAGAUUGUAAUAAAAUGCUGAGAGGAUCUGGUCCUCAACUUGUGCAAACUGGAUUAACUUCCCUGCAGUCAGGGAUCACCAGCUCACGGGACUGUCCCCAGCUCCCAGGGCGGGUAACGUGCUCAUGGCCAGCAAGGAGUUUCUCCAAACUGGUGGUAGAAAACACAAGUAAAAUUGAAACUCGUAAAUGUUAUGGUGGGGAGGAAAAGAGAAGGAAACGGCCAUUUUUUUCUUAAUGCCAGCUGGCGCCUCUGCUUUCAUGGAAGAGGAUGAGGAAGAGGAGGAGGUGAAGGAGGAGGAGGUGAAAGAGGAGGAGGAGGCGGAGGCGGUUGGCUCUUCCAUGGGAGAGGAGGAGGAUGGAAAGUUGUUGAGGAAACGAUUACAUUUCCUGGCAUGAUGUGAUGGGGGAAUUUGAUCAUCUCUUGAUAACAACAAAAAUGUCUUUGCAAAAAUUCUGUGCUAUCCUGGUAAAAAAAAAGUCAGGAGAGUUUAGUUCUGUGCCCUCGUAAAAUGACUGUGGCCUUUGAAGGUCCUUUGAGGCAAAGCACGGUUAGCGUAGCAUCUCCACUUUGCAUCCAGCCCACUAUGCGAUACAUCGCAAGCAGUGACAGAGCAGUUAUUAUACAGGGACACUUCUCUGUUAUUUUCUUUCUUUCCUUUUUUUUUUCUUUUUCCUCCCUUUUCAUUACACUCCACUGCUGGAAAUACUCCUAGGGUACUGAAAAUAAACAACAUCUCUUUCCCUACCAUUUACCAAACACUGCUUCUCAUUUUCGGAAGCCUUUGCCCACCUCGGGAGCGAGGAGACCUGGAGAUGCCACCUGCACCAUCUGGUGGCUGCCUCGCUUCUGCACUUCGGGCUCUUUGCAAUCACGUUAAAAAGCAUUUCAGGAAUAAACACGCCGGCAUUUUCUGCAGAUGUGCCUCCUCUACCGAAAAAAAAUCCCCCACAGCACCAGAAAAGAGUGCAGGCACAAAAGACGGAGGUGGAAACAUAUUCUGAAAAUGCCACGCUGGCUUUUCUGAAAUGACGGUGUUGACAUUUUGCAUUUACAUUAUCAAAACCAUUGCGUGGGUCCUUCGGGGAGCAACGCCGUGGGAUGGGGGGGUUUGCUGGGGGUGCCCGGCAGGGCUCCUGGGCUGCCCCUGCUCCUCAGCUACCAGGCAGUUGCUGUUGUUGAUCUUCUUUGUCCAGGAAAUUCCUCCCAGUUGCCACUCUCACUCCCCUCUUGUGUUUUAUUCAGAAAAAUUAAAUUGCUAUUCCAGUGUCCUAUGAUGAAUGUGAUCCGGUCGCCAUAUUUAACAUACCCUUGGAUAACAUUUAAAUAUGUAACAGCAAACCAAGCUGUGAUAAACCUCUCACAAUGAGUUGAGAGCAAGCUCAUUUACGAAAAUACUUCAGUAGGAAUUAAAAUAAAAUUUCCAUUUUCCACAGUUACAUUCUGAUUCUAGUUGUCAUUAACUUACUCAAAAUCCCAUUUGGGAUUUCAAACUUUAGUAAAUCAUUGUGUCUUCCAAUUAACUUUCAUACUCCAGACAACAUAAUGUGACUAAUUUCAUUCAACUCUGUUGUUUAAUAAACAUCUAAACAAUUCUUUAUUUCUGAGUCACAAAGAAAUGUGCAGUUAUAUUAUAUUGUGCACGCGGUAAUGGGCAAAAGGAAAAUUACUGAAGAGAAAUUCAUCUUGGUUCUUUGGUUUAUCAGCUUCGGAGAAGCGCUGCUCUGUGAAUGAUGGGCACAGCCAGGGAAUUCGCCGGCCCUCCCUAUCACACACGCAGCAUUAUUUGCCAAGAGAAAGUACUGCACUCUCGUACCAAGCCUCGGGAUUUUUGGCUGCCUAAGCAAAGGCACUGCAGGGGUCACUUGGAUGCUUAGCAGCCCGGAGGGUGCAGGCGAUGUAGCGGUGACUAUAAGCUAUGAUUAUUUCCAUCAAAGAGACAAGUUAGGGGAGCUGGGACACUGGAAGAGCGGUCGGAGACGGGCUGGCGGACUCACGCUGUUCUGGGAUCAGCCGUGUGCGUGCACAGCGGGCCAAGCUAAAUCUAAGUAAUAAGACCUAUUAAAGUGAUGUGAGCUAAACAAGACUAUUUCAAUAGCAGAACUAUGAUGUUAAGUUAUUCAGUAUUUAAAAAUUGAGAGAACAUGACUGCCGGGGCACAGUUCUGAUCACAGUGUCCUAGCAGAUGCUGCUGCAGCACAGCCGUAGGCAGGCACGGAGAAGGGCAGUGUAUCUGAACAGAGGUUUUCUCACCGAUGCUUUCUCGUUAAACCCGGCAGGUUUUUAAAACUGGCAGUUUUUACAAGGGGGUCAGCACACGUGUGAAUUUUCCUGCUGGCGUAAUUGCAGAGGGCUCUGUGUGCUCAGGGGGGACGUGGUCCCACAUGGCCACUGUGCAUCUGCAGCCGAGUGCUGAGUGCUGGUAGGUGACCUGUAAAAAAAUCAUUAGCACUGAAGAAAUGUCAUUUGUCCUGAUUUUUCAUUUUGAGUAUUCUCUCCAGAAGAGUUUGAGCAGAUGUCUAAUCAGGGAGGAGGAAGACUGCUGUGUAACUUAUCAAACUGAUCACACGUGAGUCUGAAAUUUCAGCAUCUGUGGCCUUCCCAGCGAGGAGAGCCUUUGAGAUGAAAUGUGCUAAAUCCAUUCCAGUAACUAGUGUCUCUUUGAGGAACAUGAUCUCCUCAAAGGAUUCCUGGAGCAGAGAAGAAAAAAGGCUCGAUCCCUUGAACACUGUGCUAAUUACUGACCUAGAGCCUGGCUGUGGCAUGUGGACCCCGAUCUUCGAGAUGGAGGAUUUCUGUGGUUGGCAUCAGUCUGAGCACACUGUGAAAAACCUUCUGGUCCGUUUUAUGCCUAACAGCAAAAAUGCACGUACGUUCACAGACUAAGGAACUACAAUACUGCCCGAGUUGUGGGAACACAUCUACAGAGGCAGUGCUGUAGCAGAACGCAAGCAGGCCAUAUUGGAAAAAAUAAGGAGUUUAUUUAGUGUUAAAUGCGCUGAUGUUUUUCUCAAAUGUGUUUGCAGAGCCAUUAAAAGCUAUGUUUAAUCUCUGCUCCAUUUGCAAUCUGAUAUGCAUUAUGCUUCUUCCACAAGGAGCAAGCGCAGUUAACGGCACUGGAUGGCUCUGCCUCCGCUCGCAGGGAGGCUGGACAAGGUCUCCUUCUCCGGGGCUGCUCUGCCAGGGGACUCCGAGACAUCUCGGACGCCUAAACCCAGGGCUAAAUGCUGUUACAUGGUUGUGUGUACCAAACUUGCAUGCCAGCGUUUGUGACUGAAUGAAAACUUCCCUGAAUUACUAAUGACGUUUUUAUCUUUAAGAGACGUGAGCUCAGGCAUCAUUUUAAAAAAUGAAUCAUGAUUUUAGGUGAUUUCUUUCUGCAUGGAUGCUCAGAACUACCUGAAAAUUGUCUGUUAAAGCUGCUUCAACUUCUGUCUCUAACGGAGGUCUCACACUCGCUAAACUCUUUGGGAAACACUGGCUGUAGCGUCUCAUCCUCCUCAUUGUAUUCCAUAUUUGCAUUUCCUUGGAUAUACAAAGAAAAAGCAAAUCAGCAAUGAACAGCACAGUUAGAGCAGGAAUAACCAAAAACUGGGACAGAGAAAUAACUGCUGGUCUGGAGGUGAUACACCCGGGCCCUUUGCAGCAGAGCAUCCCGCAGCUGCCCAGGGACCCCGGUGCCGCUCGGGCGCUGCGGAUGCUGCCGGAGGAGCAGGGUGGCUCGGGCCGGUCCCCGACUCAUUCCCUGCCGGGUCUCCCCUGGGGAUUUUCCUUUUCUGUCCUUUUCAUUUAUUUCAUCAGAAGGAUGUAAGCCAAGGUUUGAUAUUUUAACACUUGGCCUAAUAUUAACUAGGGAAAUACAGCAGAUGUACUUCAUCGUAUUAUUAAAGAUAUAAGCAAUCUCUAACAGUCUGUUAUUAAUGUGGGUAGAUUGAUUGAAAACAUUUUGCUUCAACGGCUCUCAAAAAAUUCACAGUUCAUUUCCAGUCAUUAAAAUAAUUAGGUGCUGUGCUCUGACUACUCCACUAAGGGCAGAGCUAUAGGGCCAACCGACCCCAGCGCGAGCAAGGGUGCAAGCUCGCAGCGCGUCCCCUCCUUGCCGGGACGGCGUACGCGUGUGCUCCCACCCUGCCAUGGAGGCAUGAAACCCAGGGGAAUGCAGGGCUUAAGUAGGACUAAGGUGCUUAAAUGGUUUUAAGGAGCUGGGCCCUGGCCCUGCAAAAAAAAAAAAGCACAUGAACAACCCGCUCAUGCUGGCCCGUUUGUUUUAAUGAGACUGCUCCUAUAAUAAAGAUAGUUCUAUAAAUA